rnacentral:rRNA from 1 species
GACGAACGCUGGCGGCGUGCCUAAUACAUGCAAGUCGAACGCAGUGGGGCCGGGUGAGUAACCCGUGGGUAACCUCCCAUCAGAGGGGAUAACACUUGGAAACAGGUGCUAAACCGAUACUGAUGGAUGGACCCGCGGUGCAUUAGCUAGUUGGUGGGGUAACGGCUCACCAAGGCCACGAUGCAUAACUGGCCUGAGAGGGUGAUCAGCCACACUGGAACUGAGACACGGCCCAGACUCCUACGGGAGGCAGCAGUAGGGAAUAUUUGGCAAUGGGCGAAAGUCUGACCGAGCAACGCCGCGUGAGUGAAGAAGGUUUUCGGAUCGUAAAGCACUGUAGUUAGGGAGGCGUUACCUACAGAGAAAGCACCGGCUAACUACGUGCCAGCAGCCGCGGUAAUUC